CAAAACUAUAUCUUAGCUAUGGCAGCCAAAACAAGACUUCUUAAAAAUAAACAAUCUUGAAAACCAUUUGGCCAAUUUAUACAUCAAUUAGAGAGAAGAUCACCAUUAAUUGAAGUGAGCUGAGAAGCAGCUCAGACGGAUGGGUUUGGUUUCUCUCCAGUGACAUCCAUGCAGUUUAUUACAUAAGCAGUUUACUGCAGUGAAGUCAUUACAGUGUCCAGCCACAGAGCCUCUGUUUGUUUGACUCCUCAGCUCCUCUUUAACCACUUCCCUCCACACAGAUCCUCCACCAUGUGUAUGCUGAGAAGCUACCCAAGCCAGACAAGCAGAUGUUCUGCAGACUUUGGAUCCUGACAGCCCAUUCUCCAACCAUUUCUGACAGCUCAAUAAUCAGUCAGUGCCAAAGCAGCAUAUUUAACUUAAGGGUUGCCAGAAAUCAGAUACCCACGCCUUUUUUCUUAAGGAGUACAAGGAUAUGAAAACCAGGAGUAGCAUCACCCACUGCCAGAUACUCUUACAUCCUCCUCGUGCACAGCAUGAAUAUCAUACUAUAAAGAAAUUGGAUGAUUUCCAGAGGUGUUGGUCUCAUUCUGAAUCCAAAACACAGCACUGCAGCAGCUACUGGGAAGAAAUGAGCACCAUGAGAGCUGAAACCAGGACACCAAAAUCAUUUUGAUAGAGAGACUUUAGCACUUGUGCUACUCAAGGAAGGACAGCAGCUUACUGAAAAUUUUAAUCAUGGUGGGGGCAAAACCCAUCUGCAUCCUUACUAGCACUGGCCAGCUUGGGCUUGCACUCCUGUGUUACACAGAAUUUACACCACGACACCCACAAGCAGCUUCCUCCCCCCAGGGCUGGAUCAGAGCAGCAUUCUGUGCUGGCCAUGCCUUUGAUAACUGGCAGCUUUGAGAGGCAGAAAGCUUGGACUGAAAACACCUGCAGCUGUGUUGGGGAAAGGAAACUCAACAUCUGCACCCCUGGUUACAAUCCUUGAUGGUUUCUGAGUUGUAGAUGUACUGUCAAAUUGUCCCACCUUACCCUAUCGACUUAAUUCAGGCAGGAUUUAAAAAGAUGACACUGUGACACAUCUGGAGGGAGAGCUGUAGGGACUAUAGGAAGGAUCAGCUCUGUGCUCCCAAAACUAAAGCACUUCUUUCCAACACCAUUCCCAGAGUGUCCCUUCAAGCCCUUCCUUUUCCAAGAUAAUUACACUGUUAGCUUCACUGCUUCAUCUCCUGGACCACAACACACCUCAGAACCUGUAGGGUCUGCUUACAGUUCAGACAAACAUAGAAGUUUCCAAUUUAUGUCUUUUUUUGUUGUUGUUUUGUUUUUGUUUCCUCUUCUGAAAAUAUAAGCUAAUGGAAAAAAUAUUUUUACAAGUUAUUAAUGCACAUUAAUGAUAAGUCUAGUGAGCAUUAGUUCCAGAAGGGCACAUUUGCUAUAAUGAUGAAGAGCAAUAUAUAAAUGAACAUUACAGAGCUCCACAGGUCCAUUUCUGGGCCAACCAUGAUUAAAUUAACUACAAAAAGAUACUUGACACAACCAGUGUGACACUUGACUGAAUUUGGGAGUCAUGUAGGGAUCUCACUGAAAACUAGGAUGCUAAAUAAAUCCAUCUUACAAUAGCAACCAUGUUCAUGUGUUUUAUUUAAUGCAGUGGGGUGCUUAUUUAAUUGUUAACAUUUCAACAAAAGAAAAUAAAUUAUGCUUUCACCUCCAUCCAUGGCUCUGCUAAUAAACUGUUUUUUCCCAAAUGCAUGGCCUUGAAACAAUAAACUCUUAAGCUUUUCACAGAACCAGUUUUUAAGAAGGCAUAGCAUGUUUUAGAGAUUCCAGCUAUCAGUCACUUAACACAUAUUAAUUUGACUCAUCAGAUACUC